GACAGAGGGUGCAAACGUUGUUCGGAAUUACUGGGCGUAAAGCGCGUGUAGGCGGCGCGACAAGUCGGGUGUGAAAGCCCUGGGCUCAACCCAGGAAGUGCACUCGAUACUGUCGCGCUAGAGUCCCGGAGAGGUUGGUGGAACUCUCGGUGUAGAGGUGAAAUUCGUAGAUAUCGAGAAGAACACCGGUGGCGAAGGCGGCCAACUAGACGGUGACUGACGCUGAGACGCGAAAGCGUGGGGAGCAAACAGG
rnacentral:rRNA from 1 species